rnacentral:rRNA from 1 species
AGAGUUUGAUUCUGGCUCAGGAUGAACGCUGGCGGCAUGCCUAAUACAUGCAAGUCGAACGAGAGGAAGGAAAGCUUGCUUUUCUGAAUCUAGUGGCGAACGGGUGAGUAACACGUAGGUAACCUGCCCAUGUGCCCGGGAUAACUUCUGGAAACGGAUGCUAAAACCGGAUAGGUAGCAGACAAGCAUUUGACUGCUAUUAAAGUGGCUAAGGCCAUGAACAUGGAUGGACCUGCGGUGCAUUAGCUAGUUGGUGAGGUAACGGCCCACCAAGGCGACGAUGCAUAGCCGGCCUGAGAGGGCGGACGGCCACAUUGGGACUGAGACACGGCCCAAACUCCUACGGGAGGCAGCAGUAGGGAAUUUUCGUCAAUGGGGGGAACCCUGAACGAGCAAUGCCGCGUGAGUGAGGAAGGUCUUCGGAUCGUAAAGCUCUGUUGUAAGAGAAAAACGACAUUCAUAGGGAAUGAUGAGUGAGUGAUGGUAUCUUACCAGAAAGUCACGGCUAACUACGUGCCAGCAGCCGCGGUAAUACGUAGGUGGCGAGCGUUAUCCGGAAUGAUUGGGCGUAAAGGGUGCGUAGGUGGCAGAACAAGUCUGGAGUAAAAGGUAUGGGCUCAACCCGUACUGGCUCUGGAAACUGUUCAGCUAGAGAACAGAAGAGGACGGCGGAACUCCAUGUGUAGCGGUAAAAUGCGUAGAUAUAUGGAAGAACACCGGUGGCGAAGGCGGCCGUCUGGUCUGUUGCUGACACUGAAGCACGAAAGCGUGGGGAGCAAAUAGGAUUAGAUACCCUAGUAGUCCACGCCGUAAACGAUGAGAACUAGGUGUUGGGGGAAUAACUCAGUGCCGCAGUUAACGCAAUAAGUUCUCCGCCUGGGGAGUAUGCACGCAAGUGUGAAACUCAAAGGAAUUGACGGGGGCCCGCACAAGCAGCGGAGCAUGUGGCUUAAUUCGAAGCAACGCGAAGAACCUUACCAGGGCUUGACAUAUGGGUGAAGCGGGGGAGACCCCGUGGCCGAGAGGAGCCCAUACAGGUGGUGCAUGGCUGUCGUCAGCUCGUGUCGUGAGAUGUUGGGUUAAGUCCCGCAACGAGCGCAACCCCCGCCGCGUGUUGCCAUCGGGUGAUGCCGGGAACCCACGCGGGACCGCCGCCGUCAAGGCGGAGGAGGGCGGGGACGACGUCAAGUCAUCAUGCCCCUUAUGCCCUGGGCUGCACACGUGCUACAAUGGCCGGUACAGAGGGAUGCCACCCCGCGAGGGGGAGCGGAUCCCGGAAAGCCGGCCCCAGUUCGGAUUGGGGGCUGCAACCCGCCCCCAUGAAGUCGGAGUUGCUAGUAAUCGCGGAUCAGCAUGCCGCGGUGAAUAAGUUCCCGGGCCUUGCACUCACCGCCCGUCAA